GUUGAUGUAAUUGAUCUGUACCGUUGGAUUUGGGGAGGCUCAACUAUAAAUAGAGGCCUCUCCCUUCAUUGUAAAUGGAAGAGGAGAGAAAAAAGGAGGAAGAGGAAUAAAAAAGAGAACGAUUGGCAGUUUUUUAAAGGUGGCUUACUAUUUUUUUCUUUCGAUUAUUUUUUUUUACUUAUUUACGAUUUUAAAAAGGGGGAGAAGGUGAUACCACUACGAAUUUUAUUUAUUUAUUUUAUUUAGCCCCUCCGCCUUUUAAUGUUUUUGUAAUUAAGUUUUUUUUUCUUAAUUUACCCUUUUAUUUAUUUUUAUUUCAAUUGGGUCUAAGUUGAACGGCGUCGUUUUAGAGGAGAAGGGAAAAUUUCCCUUCCAGCC
rnacentral:lncRNA from 1 species